GAGGGUGAGAUAUGGGGCCCAUAUAGCCCAUGGGUACAUGUUAUGAUGGUUAGGAUAUAUAAUCCAAGUUAAAGUUUUGAAUUCCAUGUUAAGCCUUGCUCCUUAUCUCGGCAUGUGAUAUAUAUAUAUGUGUAUGUGUGUGUGUGCAUUAGUUUGAAUGAGGUUAGACUGUUGAUCAUGUCAUUAUGUUAUCCUUAUCCUUGAGUUACAUAAUAUAGUUCACCCUGCUAACCUUCUUCGGACGCUAUAUUCCUACGUAAUUCAGGAAUUGGUCAUACUUCCACUUCUCCCCCU
rnacentral:lncRNA from 1 species